rnacentral:tRNA from 1 species
CAAAGGUUAACAUAUUUAAUGUGUUUCAUUUACAUUGAGAAAAUAAUUGUGUUAUUGAUUACUUUUGA